GCUCAGUUUUUACAAAUAGAGCUUGGUUUGGUUUGAUUUGGUUUCAAACUGCCUCUGAAGUUUAUCCGUAUCAUCUGUUUUAGCAAAGCUGCUACCAUAAAUCUCUUCUAAUGUCCUUUAGCUUUUGUUUUUCUGCCGUUUCCCAAGGUUUUGAUCUGCUUUAUGAAUGGCACAAUGAUGCAGGAAUGUGAGCCUAGAAGAAGCAGCCCGGAACUCUCGAGUCCUUGGUGCAGCCCUUCGUGUAUGGCUGCAUCCCACCAGCUCCCUCCAACUUAAUGGCUCGCCCUGCAUAAACCCGAGGAUUUUAGUGGGGCAGAGUGGGGGAGGAGACCUCAAAUUGUUUUUAUUCAAUUAGAGGUGCCUUCCUCGAGGAACCUCUGUGUGCUGUGUGUAAGCAGCCUUGGAAAUACAAGCUAGAGGUGAUACUUUUGGACCUAUUUUGUUUAAGAUGUGGAAGAGCUUUGGCUUGUGUGUGUUUCAUUGCUUUGUCCCUGGUUGCACUGUCCAAAGGACAGUGGAGAGGACGUUGCUGAAGAACAUAACUGAGUAUGUCCCAUUCACAUAAGGCAUUCAGAUAAGUACAGGAAUCACUGUUAUGGAUGCUUCUGCUAAGAGAUGAAGUAAUUAAGUCAGCUUUUAGAUGAUGUAUAGAAAAGCUCUUCCUUGUUCAAAUACACCAGGGCGUGGUGUGUUUUGGUGUUGGUUUUUGUGCUUUGUGUUCUUAGUAGAGAUCAUAACAUCUUGGGAAGAUUAUGUCACACCCUUUUAUAAAUACGUUUACUGUGUUUAUGAGCCUGAUUUGCAGAAGUGCUGAUUGUAUUAACUUCAUGUUGAGCUCGAGGAAAGUUGGAGGAACCUCCUUUAUCUAAAGGAAGAUAUUUAAAAAGUUACAGAGGUUUAUUAGCCUAAGUGCUUCGUUAGCUGCUUGUGCUAUUUUCCAUCAUCGUGUCAAGGUAAAAAUUACCUGGGGAGAAAUAAUUGUUCCGAGCAGAUUUAAUUCAGUUCAGUGAAUCUGACACAUCCUCUGUCAUGUUUAUUUAUUUAUAAAAAUGAGAGUUGGGCACCUGUCAAAAGCAGAGGCACACAUGAUGGCAUUUUCUCUUUGUUACAGGAGUGCUUUGUUGUGUUCAAUUCUGUAGCUGCUUGCGAGCCUAUUGCAGAACAGACCUCUCUGAUUGCCUUGGACACCUCGUGGUAGCUUUAAGUCCUUUUGCUCCCACCACAAGACAUGCCAGUGUGCGUGAGAUGGCAGCUCCUGAAAGCUUCACGUCUUGAGGGAGGCUGGCAUCUGCCUCGGAGAAGCCUUAUUAGGCAGACAGGGUGCAGAACACUCUCCGCUGCCAUUGAAGUUUUAGAACUGAUUCAGUCUGUCUCUGACCAGUGGCACAUGAGCGCCGCACUUGGCACAGCCCUCGUGUCUCGCUCGGCUGGCUGUGUGCUGCACGAUCAAGGAAUGCAACGCGUCUUCAGAGUGUGUGGGAAUGGACCAGAGGCUUGCAUAACUUAAAGCCUCGUAUUUUGAGUGUUACCUUUUAAUUGUAAUUAAUGAUGCCGCUUUUGAUGCUCAAAGCAGAAUAUAGAAUGCAUUAUUUAUCCAUAGAUUCGCAGUAGCCGAUGGAGCGUGCUUAAUAUAACUGAGACCUCGUUCUUGCUCGGUGUUGCUGGGCUUGUUCUGGUUACUUUGGGGCAUAAGAAAGUUAAUAGCAGGUCCAGGACUUCUGUAAAUAUCAAGGGUAUUGUUGGAUGCUGUCUUGGUUAACCUAAUGAUUUUUUUAAACCAUCGGUAUGUAUGAGUUGAUUAAAAAAAUAAGCAACGAUUUCUUAAGUAUAGUCUGUUCUGAAUUAAAGGGUGUGGCGUUGGCUUUGAAUGAGCUUGAUGCAGCAACAAGCAUGCAGCAGUUGGUAAAUAAAGAUGGAUUUUCUUUUGUUCUGCUGGUGCUUGCUGCUCAUUAUUCUCCACUUACCCCGUAAGCUUCCCAGGGAGUGGCAGCUGUUUCUGAUGUUAGACACUCUAUCAGUGGUAGACAGCUCCAGAUUCGGUGAGAUACUGUUGGGGAGAGCAGAGGAAAAUAACCUAACCCUGCAUUAUUGUAAAUCCUCAGCAGAAUUAACUUUUCAUGAACCAGAAGAGUUCUGUGUUUGACUUUCCAAAAUAUUCAGGCGUAAGUGUGCUCUGCAGUACGUGUUACUGGGAAAAGCUUCUUUGGCAUGAGGUGGAUUUACAUGCUGAGCGUGUAUUAAGUAUUUUAAUAUGCAGUGUGUGGGGGCAGACACAAAGCAAUAAAGUGAAAUCAGUCUAUAACA